rnacentral:rRNA from 1 species
GGGCGGGACACGUGGUAUCCUGUCUGAAUAUGGGGGGACCAUCCUCCAAGGCUAAAUACUCCUGACUGACCGAUAGUGAACCAGUACCGUGAGGGAAAGGCGAAAAGAACCCCGGCGAGGGGAGUGAAAAAGAACCUGAAACCGUGUACGUACAAGCAGUGGGAGCACAGGUUUACCUGUGUGACUGCGUACCUUUUGUAUAAUGGGUCAGCGACUUAUAUUCUGUAGCAAGGUUAACCGAAUAGGGGAGCCGGAGGGAAACCGAGUCUUAAUUGGGCGUUAAGUUGCAGGGUAUAGACCCGAAACCCGGUGAUCUAGCCAUGGGCAGGUUGAAGGUUGGGUAACACUAACUGGAGGACCGAACCGACUAAUGUUGAAAAAUUAGCGGAUGACCUGUGGCUGGGGGUGAAAGGCCAAUCAAACCGGGAGAUAGCUGGUUCUCCCCGAAAGCUAUUUAGGUAGCGCCUCGUGAAUUCAUCUCCGGGGGUAGAGCACUGUUUCGGCUAGGGGGCCAUCCCGGCUUACCAACCCGAUGCAAACUGCGAAUACCGGAGAAUGUUAUCACGGGAGACACACGGCGGGUGCUAACGUCCGUCGUGAAGAGGGAAACAACCCAGACCGCCAGCUAAGGUCCCAAAGUCAUGGUUAAGUGGGAAACGAUGUGGGAAGGCCCAGACAGCCAGGAUGUUGGCUUAGAAGCAGCCAUCAUUUAAAGAAAGCGUAAUAGCUCACUGGUCGAGUCGGCCUGCGCGGAAGAUGUAACGGGGCUAAACCAU